rnacentral:rRNA from 1 species
AAGAAACUAACGAGGAUUCCCCUAGUAAUUGCGAGUGAAGCGGGAAAAGCUCAAAUUUAAAAUCUGGCGGUCUUUGGCCGUCCGAGUUGUAGUCUGGAGAAGUGCUUUCCGCGCUGGACCGUGUAUAAGUCUCUUGGAACAGAGCGUCAUAGAGGGUGAGAAUCCCGUCUUUGACACGGACUACCAGUGCUUUGUGAUGCGCUCUCAAAGAGUCGAGUUGUUUGGGAAUGCAGCUCAAAAUGGGUGGUGAAUUCCAUCUAAAGCUAAAUAUUGGCGAGAGACCGAUAGCGAACAAGUACCGUGAGGGAAAGAUGAAAAGCACUUUGGAAAGAGAGUUAAACAGUACGUGAAAUUGCUGAAAGGGAAACGCUUGAAGUCAGUCGCGUUGUCCGGAACUCAGCCUUGCUUUUGCUUGGUGCACUUUCCGGAUGACGGGUCAGCAUCGAUUUUGACCGUCGGAAAAGGGCUGGAGUAAUGUGGCACCUCCGGGUGUGUUAUAGACUCUGGUCGCAUACGGCGGUUGGGAUCGAGGAACGCAGCGCGCCGCCAAGGCAGGGGUUUGCACCACUUUCGCGCUUAGGAUGCUG